rnacentral:rRNA from 1 species
UUUUGGACAAUGGGGGAAACCCUGAUCCAGCAAUGCCGCGUGAGUGAAGAAGGCCUUCGGGUUGUAAAGCUCUUUUGUCAGGGAAGAAACACCGGCUCUAACACAGUCCGGGAAUGACGGUACCUGAAGAAUAAGCACCGGCUAACUACGUGCCAGCAGCCGCGGUAAUACGUAGGGUGCGAGCGUUAAUCGGAAUUACUGGGCGUAAAGCGUGCGCAGGCGGUUAUACAAGACAGGCGUGAAAUCCCCGGGCUUAACCUGGGAAUGGCGCCUGUGACUGUAUAGCUAGAGUGUGUCAGAGGGGGGUAGAAUUCCACGUGUAGCAGUGAAAUGCGUAGAUAUGUGGAGGAAUACCAAUGGCGAAGGCAGCCCCCUGGGAUAACACUGACGCUCAUGCACGAA